UUUUCAGUGUCGCAGCGAAAGCGAUAAACACACCGCCUGGGGAGUACGACCGCAAGGUUAAAACUCAAAUGAAUUGACGGGGACCCGCACAAGUAGUGGAACAUGUGGUUUAAUUCGAAGAUACGCGCAGAACCUUACCAACACUUGACAUGUUCGUCGCGACUUUAAGAGAUUAAAGUUUUCGGUUCGGCCGGACGAAACACAGGUGCUGCAUGGCUGUCGUCAGCUCGUGUCGUGAGAUGUUGGGUUAAGUCCCGCAACGAGCGCAACCCUCACUUUUAGUUGCCAUCAUUUAGUUGGGCACUCUGAAAGAACUGCCAGUGAUAAGCUGGAGGAAGGUGGGGAUGACGUCAAGUCCUCAUGGCCCUUACGUGUUGGGCUACACACGUGCUACAAUGGUAUCUACAACAGGAAGCAAAACGGCAACGUUAAGCAAAUCCCUAAAAGAUACCUCAGUUCGGAUUGCACUCUGCAACUCGAGUGCAUGAAGCUGGAAUUACUAGUAAUCGUGGAUCAGCGUGCCACGGUGAAUGCGUUCCCGGGUCUUGUACACACCGCCCGUCACACCAUGGGAGUUGGUUCUACCUUAAGGCAAGGUUUUAAACCCUUGACCACGGUAUAGUCAGCGACUGGGGUGAAGUCGUAACAAGGUAGCCGUAGGGGAACCUGCGGCUGGAUUACCUCCUU
rnacentral:rRNA from 1 species